UCAAGUCAAAUAUGUAUCAAAAAGGCCCUCUGUUCAGGGAAAAAUGAUUUAUGUCCCUUAUAAAAUUUACACAGAGACCAAGGAAAGCCCUAAGCGGGGCUGAUCCAUUUUUGUUGUAUUUCAUUAAAGAUUCAUAAUCCUAUUUAAUGUUAAAAUAAAGUCCCAUGUGAGAGGGGUUGCCUUUCCAGGCCAAGGUGGACAGGCGGCCCUACGACAGGUUUCCCAGGCCAAGGUGGACAGGCGGCCCUAUGACAGGUUUCCCAGGCCAAGGUGGACAGGCGGCCCCACGACAGGUUUCCCAGGCCAAGGUGGACAGGCGGCCCCACGACAGGUUUCCCAGGCCAAGGUGGACAGGCGGCCCCACGACAGGUUUCCCAGGCCAAGGUGGACAGGCGGCCCUACGACAGGUUUCCCAGGCCAAGGUGGACAGGCGGUCCUAUGACAGGUUUCCCAGGCCAAGGUGGACAGGCGGCCCCACGACAGGUUUCCCAGGCCAAGGUGGACAGGCGGUCCUAUGACAGGUUUCCCAGGCCAAGGUGGACAGGCGGCCCCACGACAGGUUUCCCAGGCCAAGGUGGACAGGCGGCCCUACGACAGGUUUCCCAGGCCAAGGUGGACAGGCGGCCCUACGACAGGUUUCCCAGGCCAAGGUGGAGAGGCGGCCCUACGACAGGUUUCCCAGGCCAAGGUGGACAGGCGGCCCCACGACAGG